rnacentral:rRNA from 1 species
GAUGAACGCUAGCGGCAGGCCUAACACAUGCAAGCCGAGCGGAAUGUGUUCUUCGGAACAGCGCGAGCGGCGCACGGGGGCGGAACACGAACACAACCUGCCUUUAUCUGGGGGAUAGCCUUUAGAAAGGAAGAUUAAUGCCCCAUACUAUAAUGAUAGUCAUCCGUUUAUAUUGAAAACUCCAGUGGGUUGUGAUGGGCACGCGCAAGAUUUGCUAGUUGGUGAGGUAACAGCUCACCAAGUCAAUGAUCUUUAGGGGGCAUGGGAGGGUGACCCCCCACACUGGAACUGCGACACGGACCAGUCUCGUACGGGAGGGAGCAGUGUGGAACACUGGACACGGGGUUAGCGCCUGAUCCAGCCACCCCGGGUGAAGGACGCCGGCCCUAGGGGUAGUAAACUUCUUUUGGAGAGGGAUAAACCUACUCUCUGGAGAGUAGCUGAAGGUACUUUACGAAUAAGCACCGGCUAACUACGUG